AUAGCGUAUAGGUAAUUUUCAACUUUACCGAAUAAUUCUAAACCUACACAUUUUUCCAAUAUAAAUUUUUUACAUUCAUAAUAUUAUAUGCUUUUAAGUGUCAGAAAAAAAAAACAAGAUAUCUUUGUGCGUUUCAUCGUUACAAAAGACGAACAAGGAACUAUAUCCAAAAACUUUAUUGUAUGCAUACUUGUUCUAAAAAUAUAUUGACAUUACGAUAUUUCAUCAGACUUUGUUUGGUACUCUGACAAACGAACGUUUGUUAAGUUCUAGUCUAAAUGACAUUCGGAUAAUAUGCAUCG